rnacentral:rRNA from 1 species
UAGGGUUCGAUCCUGGCUCAGAUUGAACGCUGGCGGCAGGCCUAACACAUGCAAGUCGAACGGUAACAGAACUAGCUUGCUAGUUGCUGACGAGUGGCGGACGGGUGAGUAAUGCUUGGGAAUUUGCCUUUAGGUGGGGGAUAACAGUUGGAAACGACUGCUAAUACCGCAUAUUAGCUACGGCUUAAAGGGGGCUUCGGCUCUCGCCUUUAGAGAAGCCCAAGUGGGAUUAGAUAGUUGGUGAGGUAAAGGCUCACCAAGUCAGCGAUCCCUAGCUGGUCUGAGAGGAUGAUCAGCCACACUGGAACUGAGACACGGUCCAGACUCCUACGGGAGGCAGCAGUGGGGAAUAUUGCACAAUGGGCGCAAGCCUGAUGCAGCCAUGCCGCGUGUGUGAAGAAGGCCUUCGGGUUGUAAAGCACUUUCAGCGAGGAGGAAAGCUUAGUAGUUAAUACCUGCUAGGUGUGACGUUACUCGCAGAAGAAGGACCGGCUAACUCCGUGCCAGCAGCCGCGGUAAUACA